rnacentral:rRNA from 1 species
UACAGAGGUCCCAAGCGUUGUUCGGAUUCAUUGGGCGUAAAGGGUGCGUAGGUGGCGUGGUAAGUCGGGUGUGAAAUCCCGGGGCUCAACCCCGGGACUGCAUUCGAUACUGCCAUGCUUGAGGACUGGAGAGGAGACUGGAAUUUACGGUGUAGCAGUGAAAUGCGUAGAGAUCGUAAGGAAGACCAGUGGCGAAGGCGGGUCUCUGGACAGUUCCUGACGCUGAGGCACGAAGGCCAGGGGAGCAAACGGG